rnacentral:rRNA from 1 species
CCCUUCGGGGCUCCUUGGUGAUUCAUAAUAACUUAACGAAUCGCAUGGCCUUGCGCCGGCGAUGGUUCAUUCAAAUUUCUGCCCUAUCAACUUUCGAUGGUAGGAUAGUGGCCUACCAUGGUGGCAACGGGUAACGGGGAAUUAGGGUUCGAUUCCGGAGAGGGAGCCUGAGAAACGGCUACCACAUCCAAGGAAGGCAGCAGGCGCGCAAAUUACCCAAUCCCGACACGGGGAGGUAGUGACAAUAAAUACUGAUACGGGGCUCUUUCGGGUCUCGUAAUUGGAAUGAGUACAAUCUAAAUCCCUUAACGAGGAACAAUUGGAGGGCAAGUCUGGUGCCAGCAGCCGCGGUAAUUCCAGCUCCAAUAGCGUAUAUUAAAGUUGUUGCAGUUAAAAAGCUCGUAGUUGAACCUUGGGUCUGGCUGGCCGGUCCGCCUCACCGCGAGUACUGGUCCGGCUGGACCUUUCCUUCUGGGGAAUCCCAUGGCCUUCACUGGCUGUGGGGGGAACCAGGACUUUUACUGUGAAAAAAUUAGAGUGUUCAAAGCAGGCCUUUGCUCGAAUACAUUAGCAUGGAAUAAUAGAAUAGGACGUGCGGUUCUAUUUUGUUGGUUUCUAGGACCGCCGUAAUGAUUAAUAGGGAUAGUCGGGGGCGUCAGUAUUCAGCUGUCAGAGGUGAAAUUCUUGGAUUUGCUGAAGACUAACUACUGCGAAAGCAUUCGCCAAGGAUG